rnacentral:rRNA from 1 species
AUUGAACGCUGGCGGCAGGCCUAACACAUGCAAGUCGAACGAGUGGCGGACGGGUGAGUAAUGUCUGGGAAACUGCCUGAUGGAGGGGUAUAACUACUGGAAACGGUAGCUAAUACCGCAUACCAUCAGAUGUUCCCAGAUGGGGUUAGCUAGUUGGUGGGGUAACGGCUAACCAAGGCGACGAUCCCUAGCUGGUCUGAGAGGAUGACCAGCCACAAGUGGACGGAGACGCGGUCCAGACGCCUACGGGAGGCAGCAGUGGGGAAUAUUGCACAAUGGGCGCAAGCCUGAUGCAGCCAUGCCGCGUGUAUGAAGAAGGCCUUCGGGUUGUAAAGUACUUUCAGCGGGGAGGCGUUACCCGAAGAAGAAGCACCGGCUAACUCCGUGCCAGCAGCCGCGGUAAUAC